GAUGAACGCUGGCGGCGUGCCUAAUACAUGCAAGUCGAGCGAACAGACGAGGAGCUUGCUCCUCUGACGUUAGCGGCGGACGGGUGAGUAACACGUGGAUACCUACCUAUAAGACUGGGAUAACUUCGGGAAACCGGAGCUAAUACCGGAUAAUAUAUUGAACCGCAUGGUUCAAUAGUGAAAGACGGUUUUGCUGUCACUUAUAGAUGGAUCCGCGCCGCAUUAGCUAGUUGGUAAGGUAACGGCUUACCAAGGCGACGAUGCGUAGCCGACCUGAGAGGGUGAUCGGCCACACUGGAACUGAGACACGGUCCAGACUCCUACGGGAGGCAGCAGUAGGGAAUCUUCCGCAAUGGGCGAAAGCCUGACGGAGCAACGCCGCGUGAGUGAUGAAGGUCUUCGGAUCGUAAAACUCUGUUAUUAGGGAAGAACAAAUGUGUAAGUAACUAUGCACGUCUUGACGGUACCUAAUCAGAAAGCCACGGCUAACUACGUG
rnacentral:rRNA from 1 species